rnacentral:rRNA from 1 species
UACGAACCGUACGAACGUUAUUCGGAAUUACUGGGCUUAAAGGGUGCGUAGGCGGCGCAGUAAGUUGGGUGUGAAAUCCCUCGGCUUAACCGAGGAAUUGCGCCCAAAACUACUGUGCUCGAGGGAGAUAGAGGUGAGCGGAACUUAGGGUGGAGCGGUGAAAUGCGUUGAUAUCCUAAGGAACACCGGUGGCGAAAGCGGCUCACUGGAUCUCUUCUGACGCUGAGGCACGAAAGCGUGGGGAGCAAACAGG